AGUGAACGCUGGCGGUAGGCCUAACACAUGCAAGUCGAACGGCAGCACAGUAAGAGCUUGCUCUUACGGGUGGCGAGUGGCGGACGGGUGGGGAAUACAUCGGAAUCUACCUUUUCGUGGGGGAUAACGUAGGGAAACUUACGCUAAUACCGCAUACGACCUACGGGUGAAAGCAGGGGAUCUUCGGACCUUGCGCGAUUGAAUGAGCCGAUGUCGGAUUAGCUAGUUGGCAGGGUAAAGGCCCACCAAGGCGACGAUCCGUAGCUGGUCUGAGAGGAUGAUCAGCCACACUGGAACUUAGACACGGUCCAGACUCCUACGGGAGGCAGCAGUGGGGAAUAUUGGACAAUGGGCGCAAGCCUGAUCCAGCCAUACCGCGUGGGUGAAGAAGGCCUUCGGGUUGUAAAGCCCUUUUGUUGGGAAAGAAAAGCAGCAGGUUAAUACCCCGCUGUUCUGACGGUACCCAAAGAAUAAGCACCGGCUAACUUCGUG
rnacentral:rRNA from 1 species